UCCCAAGUGGCUCAGUGGUAAAGAAUCCGCCUGCCAAGCAGGAGACCCAGGUUCAAUCCCUAGGUUGGGAA
rnacentral:tRNA from 1 species